UACAGGCAGGUGAGUUUUUAUGAGGGCUGAAGCUAAACUCUGCAAGAUAGUGGCCCUCCAGGACCGCAGUUGCUUAUCCUGGCCUAUGUUAAAUUAGCAGCAGAGAGAUUUUUAUUCUUUUGAUUUAAUUUGAUCCUAAACCAACUCAGAUAUACAAUUCUGUCCUGAUGUUUGGCUGUGGUCUCUCCAUCAUUCACUCUUUGGCAACUGGUCCUUGUAUGAACACCACCAUGAUCUAGUUGAUCCCACAAACUCCACUUUCAGCCUUCAGAGCUGGAGAUGAGGUGGGACUGAGAACAGCUAGGGGCCAACC